rnacentral:rRNA from 1 species
AGGUCCUGCCUGCCCAGUGACUAUGUUAAACGGCCGCGGUAUUUUGACCGUGCAAAGGUAGCGCAAUCACUUGUCUUUUAAAUGAAGACCUGUAUGAAUGGUGGAACGAGGGCCUAACUGUCUCCCUUUUCAAGUCAAUGAAAUUGAUUUAUCCGUGCAGAAGCGGAUAUACAAAUACAAGACGAGAAGACCCUUUGGAGCUUAAGAUUAAAAAUCAACUAUGUCAAAUAUUCACCAAAUAAAACUAAAUAGUAAUUGAUCAUAAUCUUCGGUUGGGGCGACCACGGAAUAAAAAUAAACUUCCACAUGGACUGAGGACUAACCUUAAAACCAAGAAAGACAUUUCUAAGUCACAGAAUUUCUGACCAUACAGAUCCGGCAAAUCGCCGAUCAAUGGACCAAGUUACCCUAGGGAUAACAGCGCAAUCCCCUUUUAGAGUUCUUAUCGACAAGGGGGUUUACGACCUCGAUGUUGGAUCAGGAC